rnacentral:rRNA from 1 species
CGUAGGACCCGAGCGUUGUCCGGAUUCACUGGGUAUAAAGGGUGCGUAGGCGGCCUUGUGCGCCAGAGGUGAAAUAUCCGGGCUUAACCCGGAGGGUGCCUUUGAUACGGCAGGGCUUGAGUGCGGGAGAGGAUGAUGGAAUUCCUGGUGUAGCGGUGAAGUGCGUAGAUAUCAGGAGGAACACCGGUGGCGAAGGCGGUCAUCUGGUCCGCUACUGACGCUGAGGCACGAAAGCGCGGGGGACCAAACAGGAUU